rnacentral:rRNA from 1 species
AGCAGCAGCCACGGUAAUACGUAGGUGGCAAGCGUUGUCCGGAAUUAUUGGGCGUAAAGGGCUCGCAGGCGGUUUCUUAAGUCUGAUGUGAAAGCCCCCGGCUCAACCGGGGAGGGUCAUUGGAAACUGGGAAACUUGAGUGCAGAAGAGGAGAGUGGAAUUCCACGUGUAGCGGUGAAAUGCGUAGAGAUGUGGAGGAACACCAGUGGCGAAGGCGACUCUCUGGUCUGUAACUGACGCUGAGGAGCGAAAGCGUGGGGAGCGAACAGGAUUAGAUACCCGGGUAGUCCCUGUCUCUUAUAC